rnacentral:lncRNA from 1 species
AAAAAUAGGCUAAUGACCAAGUCAUUUUUCCACCCAACUUGCACAAACCUCCACCAAACUAAUUGAUACCACAAUAUAACAUUUAUAAGCAUUCAUCUAAUCUCAUCCAAACAUAAAUCAUACCAUUUUAAUACCAAAAACAUCAAGGCAAACAUAAACCACCAUAUGCCAAUCAAUUUCAUACCAAAACUCAAAAUCUCAAAUAAUCAACAUGGGCACAUCCAAAUAUGCAUUAUUUUACCUAUAAUCCCAAG